AUUGAACGCUGGCGGCAUGCCUUACACAUGCAAGUCGAACGGCAGCACGGGAGCUUGCUCCUGGUGGCGAGUGGCAAACGGGUGAGUAAUACAUCGGAACGUACCCAGGAGUGGGGGAUAACGUAGCGAAAGUUACGCUAAUACCGCAUAUUCUGUGAGCAGGAAAGCGGGGGAUCGCAAGACCUCGCGCUCUUGGAGCGGCCGAUGUCGGAUUAGCUAGUUGGUGAGGUAAAAGCUCACCAAGGCGACGAUCCGUAGCAGGUCUGAGAGGAUGAUCUGCCACACUGGGACUGAGGCACGGCCCAGACUCCUACGGGAGGCAGCAGUGGGGAAUUUUGGACAAUGGGGGCAACCCUGAUCCAGCCAUGCCGCGUGAGUGAAGAAGGCCUUCGGGUUGUAAAGCUCUUUCGGCGGGGAAGAAAUGGCAACGGCUAAUAUCCGUUGUUGAUGACGGUACCCGCAUAAGAAGCACCGGCUAACUACGUGCCAGCCGCCGCCGUAAAAC
rnacentral:rRNA from 1 species